UUAUAUUUAAUUUUAUAUUUUAAUUUAAAAAAGUUUUAUUUUGGCUUGAAUAUUAUUUGUUUAUAUUUAUAUUAUAAAAAAAUUUAUUUUUAAAUAGUUUUAAAAUUUUAGUUAAUAAUUUUAAUUUAAUAUUUUUUAAAGGAUAAUUUAGGAAUAUAAAAAAAUUUUAAUUAAAUUUGUGCCAGCAAUUGCGGUUAAACAAAUAAAGUUAAAUAAUAAAUUCUAAAUGUAAUAAAUUGUUUUUUUAUUAAUUUAGAUUUAAUUUUAUUAAGUGAAAUUUUAAUAUUAAUGAUAUUUAAUUGUUUUAUAAUGAUUUUAUGAAAUUUUAUAGAAAAACUAGGAUUAGAUACCCUAUUAUUUGAUUUUGUAAAUUUAAAAUUUAAAAUAUUAAAAGUUUAAGAUCUUAAAAAUUAAAAAAUUUGGCGGUAUUUUAUUCAAUUCAGAGGAAUCUGUAGUAUAAUUGAUAAUCCACGAUUUAUUUUACUUUUAAUAAUGUUUGUAUAUCGUCGUUUUAAAUGAAUAUUUUAUUAGAAUAUAAAUAUUCUAAUAUUUUAUAUAAAAAAUUUAUUUCAGAUCAAGGUGCAGUUUUUAAAAGAAACUAUGGAUUACAAUAUUAAUUUUAAAAUUUUGAUUAAAAAUUUAAAUAAAUUUUAUGAAAGAGGAUUUGGUUGUAAGAUUAAAAAAUUUAAAAUCUGAUAAUUUGCUCUAAAAUGUGCACAUAUUGCCCGUCAUUUUCAUUUAAAUUGGAACAAGUCGUAACAUAGUAGAUGUACUGGAAAGUGUAUCUA
rnacentral:ncRNA from 1 species